AAGCCAGCCAGGAAGGAGGAGGCAGCCAGAGUGGCCACCACUGUUCUUUGCAGCAGAAGACCCCUUGCUGCCAGUAGGAAGGAAUGAGAUGACACAUCCAUGUGGCCUGCUCAGCAGCACACAAGACCUGAAGCUUGCUGUCAGGUUUGCAGCUUAGGAGUGCUGUUAGAUCUGGCCUGAACACUGGAUGCCAAUGAGGAGAAGACGAGGCAUGAGGCACUUUCCAUCAGUUAGAUGUACAAGAUGAGCACCUAUGUAAUAUAUACAUGAAGAGUGGCUAUGAGAAGAAGGCCUUGAGAACUUUCAGCCUCGACCUCUCUUAGCACUUACAUACCCAAACAGCACAUCCUGGUGUUUCUCAGUCAAGUAAACUUGUGCAGGAGCAGAAGAUGUCUUUUUGACUCUAAGGAGUCUCUGAGUUUCUUAAUCCGAUAUGAACUCUGGAUUUUGACUGAAACUUUUCAAGCCUGACUGUGUACAUGCCCUGGCAAGCAAAAGCUGAUAGUGACCAAUAUAAAAAACCCUCAAGUCCACCAAACUCCAAUGGAAAAAAAAGGUGCUGUGCUUUAAAAGUAUCUUGCAAUUAAAAAAUAAAAAUAAAAAUGUUGCA